rnacentral:rRNA from 1 species
UAGGUUAAUGAGGCGAACCGGGGGAACUGAAACAUCUAAGUACCCCGAGGAAAAGAAAUCAACCGAGAUUCCCCCAGUAGCGGCGAGCGAACGGGGAGCAGCCCAGAGCCUGAAUCAGUAUGUGUGUUAGUGGAAGCGUCUGGAAAGGCGCGCGAUACAGGGUGACAGCCCCGUACACAAAAAUGCACAUAUUGUGAGCUCGAUGAGUAGGGCGGGACACGUGGUAUCCUGUCUGAAUAUGGGGGGACCAUCCUCCAAGGCUAAAUACUCCUGACUGACCGAUAGUGAACCAGUACCGUGAGGGAAAGGCGAAAAGAACCCCGGCGAGGGGAGUGAAAAAGAACCUGAAACCGUGUACGUACAAGCAGUGGGAGCACGCUUAGGCGUGUGACUGCGUACCUUUUGUAUAAUGGGUCAGCGACUUAUAUUCUGUAGCAAGGUUAACCGAAUAGGGGAGCCGAAGGGAAACCGAGUCUUAACUGGGCGUUAAGUUGCAGGGUAUAGACCCGAAACCCGGUGAUCUAGCCAUGGGCAGGUUGAAGGUUGGGUAACACUAACUGGAGGACCGAACCGACUAAUGUUGAAAAAUUAGCGGAUGACUUGUGGCUGGGGGUGAAAGGCCAAUCAAACCGGGAGAUAGCUGGUUCUCCCCGAAAGCUAUUUAGGUAGCGCCUCGUGAAUUCAUCUCCGGGGGUAGAGCACUGUUUCGGCAAGGGGGUCAUCCCGACUUACCAACCCGAUGCAAACUGCGAAUACCGGAGAAUGUUAUCACGGGAGACACACGGCGGGUGCUAACGUCCGUCGUGAAGAGGGAAACAACCCAGACCGCCAGCUAAGGUCCCAAAGUCAUGGUUAAGUGGGAAACGAUGUGGGAAGGCCCAGACAGCCAGGAUGUUGGCUUAGAAGCAGCCAUCAUUUAAAGAAAGCGUAAUAGCUCACUGGUCGAGUCGGCCUGCGCGGAAGAUGUAACGGGGCUAAACCAUGCACCGAAGCUGCGGCAGCGACACUAUGUGUUGUUGGGUAGGGGAGCGUUCUGUAAGCCUGCGAAGGUGUGCUGUGAGGCAUGCUGGAGGUAUCAGAAGUGCAAAUGCUGACAUAAGUAACGAUAAAGCGGGUGAAAAGCCCGCUCGCCGGAAGACCAAGGGUUCCUGUCCAACGUUAAUCGGGGCAGGGUGAGUCGACCCCUAAGGCGAGGCCGAAAGGCGUAGUCGAUGGGAAACAGGUUAAUAUUCCUGUACUUGGUGUUACUGCGAAGGGGGGACGGAGAAGGCUAUGUUGGCCGGGCGACGGUUGUCCCGGUUUAAGCGUGUAGGCUGGUUUUCCAGGCAAAUCCGGAAAAUCAAGGCUGAGGCGUGAUGACGAGGCACUACGGUGCUGAAGCAACAAAUGCCCUGCUUCCAGGAAAAGCCUCUAAGCAUCAGGUAACAUCAAAUCGUACCCCAAACCGACACAGGUGGUCAGGUAGAGAAUACCAAGGCGCUUGAGAGAACUCGGGUGAAGGAACUAGGCAAAAUGGUGCCGUAACUUCGGGAGAAGGCACGCUGAUAUGUAGGUGA